AUUGAACGCUGGCGGCAGGCUUAACACAUGCAAGUCGAGCGAGCGGCGGACGGGUGAGUAAUGUCUGGGAAACGGCCUGAUGGAGGGGGGUAACUACUGGAAAAGGUAGCUAAUACCGCAUACCAUCAGAUGUGCCCAGAUGGGAUGAGCUAGUAGGUGGGGUAAUGGUUCUCCAAGGCGACGAUCCCUAGCGGGUCUGAGAGGAUGACCAGCCACACUGGGACUGAGACACGUGCCAGACUCCGACGGGAGGCAGCAGUGGGGAAUAUUGCACAAUGGGCGCAAGCCUGAUGCAGCCAUGCCGCGUGUGUGAAGAAGGCCUUCGGGUUGUAAAGCACUUUCAGCGAGGAGGCGGUACUCGCAGAAUAAGCACCGGCUAACUCCGUGCCAGCAGCCGCGGUAAUUC
rnacentral:rRNA from 1 species